rnacentral:rRNA from 1 species
AGAGUUUGAUCAUGGCUCAGAUUGAACGCUGGCGGAAUGCUUUACACAUGCAAGUCGAACGAUGAACCUUAGCUUGCUAAGGGGAUUAGUGGCGAACGGGUGAGUAAUAUAUCGGAACGUGCCUUGUAAUGGGGGAUAACUAGUCGAAAGAUUAGCUAAUACCGCAUACGCCCUGAGGGGGAAAGUAGGGGAUCUUCGGACCUUACGUUAUAAGAGCGGCCGAUAUCUGAUUAGCUAGUUGGUGGGGUAAUGGCCUACCAAGGCUUCGAUCAGUAGCUGGUCUGAGAGGACGACCAGCCACACUGGAACUGAGACACGGUCCAGACUCCUACGGGAGGCAGCAGUGGGGAAUUUUGGACAAUGGGCGCAAGCCUGAUCCAGCCAUUCCGCGUGAGUGAAGAAGGCCUUCGGGUUGUAAAGCUCUUUCGCAAGGGAAGAAAACUUACCUUCUAAUAAAGGGUGAGGCUGACGGUACCUUGAUAAGAAGCACCGGCUAACUACGUGCCAGCAGCCGCGGUAAUACGUAGGGUGCGAGCGUUAAUCGGAAUUACUGGGCGUAAAGCGUGCGCAGGCGGUUUGGCAAGUCAGAUGUGAAAUCCCCGAGCUCAACUUGGGAACUGCGUUUGAAACUGCCAGACUAGAAUAUGUCAGAGGGGGGUAGAAUUCCACGUGUAGCAGUGAAAUGCGUAGAGAUGUGGAGGAAUACCAAUGGCGAAGGCAGCCCCCUGGGAUAAUAUUGACGCUCAUGCACGAAAGCGUGGGGAGCAAACAGGAUUAGAUACCCUGGUAGUCCACGCCCUAAACGAUGUCUACUAGUUGUUGGUGGAGUAAAAUCCAUGAGUAACGCAGCUAACGCGUGAAGUAGACCGCCUGGGGAGUACGGUCGCAAGAUUAAAACUCAAGGAAUUGACGGGGGCCCGCACAAGCGGUGGAUUAUGUGGAUUAUUCGAUGCACGCGAAAACCUUACCUGGCUUGACAUGCACUACGAGCAGAGAUGCAUUAGUGCCCGUAAGGAAAGUGACACAGUGCUGCAUGCUGUCGUCAGCUCGUGUCGUGGAUGUUGGGUAGUCCGCAACGAGCGCAACCUUGCCAUUAAUUGCCAUCAUUUAAUGGCACUA